CCUACGGGUGGCAGCAGUGGGGAAUAUUGGACAAUGGGGGGAACCCUGAUCCAGCCAUGCCGCGUGUGUAGAAGGCCCUCGGGUUGUAAAGCACUUUCAGUGAGGAAGAACGCCUGGUGGUUAAUACCCAUCAGGAAAGACAUCACUCACAGAAGAAGCACCGGCUAACUCCGUGCCAGCAGCCGCGGUAAUACGGAGGGUGCGAGCGUUAAUCGGAAUUACUGGGCGUAAAGCGCGCGUAGGUGGCUUGAUAAGCCGGUUGUGAAAGCCCCGGGCUCAACCUGGGAACGGCAUCCGGAACUGUCAAGCUAGAGUGCAGGAGAGGAAGGUAGAAUUCCCGGUGUAGCGGUGAAAUGCGUAGAGAUCGGGAGGAAUACCAGUGGCGAAGGCGGCCUUCUGGACUGACACUGACACUGAGGUGCGAAAGCGUGGGUAGCAAACAGGAUUAGAUACCCCAGUAGUC
rnacentral:rRNA from 1 species